CCUACGGGUGGCAGCAGUAGGGAAUAUUGCUCAAUGGGGGAAACCCUGAAGCAGCCAUGCCGCGUGGAGGAUGAAGGUCUUCGGAUUGUAAACUCCUUUUGUUAGAGAAGAUAAUGACGGUAUCUAACGAAUAAGCACCGGCUAACUCCGUGCCAGCAGCCGCGGUAAUACGGAGGGUGCAAGCGUUACUCGGAAUCACUGGGCGUAAAGAGCGCGUAGGCGGGCUAGCAAGUCAGAUGUGAAAUCCUAUGGCUUAACCAUAGAACUGCAUUUGAAACUGUUAGUCUAGAGUAUGGGAGAGGUAGGUGGAAUUCUUGGUGUAGGGGUAAAAUGCGUAGAGAUCAAGAGGAAUACUCAUUGCGAAGGCGACCUGCUAGAACAUAACUGACGCUGAUGCGCGAAAGCGUGGGGAGCAAACAGGAUUAGAUACCCGUGUAGUC
rnacentral:rRNA from 1 species